AGCGAACGCUGGCGGUAUGCUUAACACAUGCAAGUCGAGCGCGAAAGUGACUUCGGUCAUGAGUAGAGCGGCGGACGGGUGAGUAACACGUGGAUAAUCUGCCUUUAGGACUGGGAUAACCCUGGGAAACUAGGGCUAAUACCGGAUAAGACCACAGGUUCCAUGGAACCAGGGGUAAAAGGCGGCCUUCGGGCUGUCGCCGAAAGAUGAGUCCGCGUCCCAUCAGGUAGUUGGUGAGGUAACGGCUCACCAAGCCGAAGACGGGUAGCCGACCUUAGCGGGUGAUCGGCCACACGGGGACUGAGACACGGCCCCGACUCCUACGGGAGGCAGCAGUGGGGAAUCUUGGGCAAUGGGCGCAAGCCUGACCCAGCAAUACCGCGUGAGGGAUGAAGGCCUUCGGUCGU
rnacentral:rRNA from 1 species